rnacentral:ncRNA from 2 species
GCAUAACUUUAGGAGUAACUAGCAAUAGUUUGAGAAAUAUCCUUUGAACCUGAUUUGGCUGAUACCAACGUAGGAAAAAGAAAAGCAUCAUCU